CAACACAGAAAUGAAGACAUAGUUGAGAUCAUAAGGGGACUUUAUGGACUGUAAACAGUAAAGCAGAAUCAGCUUAGAAACUCAAGUCAGCAAGGACAAAAGUCUCCCCGUUUAGUGUCCUCAGGGGUCCGUACCAGGGGUGGUGCAGCCCAGUGGCCUGGCCAGCCUGGGCUCGGCAGGGGAGCCACGCGCCCUGUGUUCUCUCAGAGCUUCCUUGUCAUGGAUGACCCACCUGGUUUUGGAGGACCUCCCUCAAGUGCAAUUUUCCUGAAAUUUUUCUUAGGAUUAGCCCGAGGCCAUGGGCCUGGGGAGGGGACAUCAUGACCCUACCCGGCACCUCAAGGAUAUUCACACCAUGCUCCAUGACUACUGGCGUGGCCCUGGGCCACCUGGCUGCUGUGAUGCCUGUCAGCUUCCUCCAGUGUCCAGUUCGUCUGCCUUCUACCCUCUGCCAACAUGUGCCCUCUGGCAGGGAGGGGAAGGGACUGCCUGCAGCUCACACGUCGGGGUGGGGAGGUCGCCCUCUUGGGGCACGUCUACGUAGUUUACCUGGAAUCCUUCUGCCUGGGAGAUCUGUCUCCUCUCUCCUCGAUUUAUUCAAUCAACCAUGCUUAUGUCAGCAAGGAUCUAUGGAUACUUAUUCUGUACUGUGGGCUACAAUCCCAGUCUUUGUUUUCUUGCUCCAAGUGUUCCAGCUGUGGCCACUGGGGGCUCUUCCACUUGGCUGCUCUGUGCCUUCGACAUGUUCCCCAGGAAACGGAAGCUGUCGACGUCACAUGACCUGACCAGCAAUGUCACAGAGAUUCUCAGUGGUACAGUCGAUUCAAAUGGGGCCCGGCUCAGCAGCAGCAUGCAGCACCCUCACAGGGGCAGCCUCUGCAAGGACAGCGUGACCCGUGUUCGGUGUCUAAAGAUGAACAUGGAGCCCUCUUUUCAAAGUAUAUAAAUGGAAGAUCUGUGACCUUUACCGAAUUGGAGAACCUGCUGAGUGUGUCUGACCUUGGGGAAAAAGCUGCAGCCCUGGGGGUGACGCAGCCCAUGCGGGUGUACCUUGAGGUGAUUUCUUCACAAGCAGAUGAUGGCUGUGGGGUGUGGCUCAAGAAGAUGACUUGGGGUGAACCUGUACCCCCUUGGCCGGAGAGAGAGGAGUCUCCUCCCCUUGUCCUCCACCCACCUGCCCCAGAUCACAGAUGACCCGAAUCUGGCCCUGUGAUGGAGUGACUAAAACCAUGGAUAGGAAAUAGGAAAACACAGUGAUUCACCACGAAAGAAUCAAGCUGCCUACAUCCUGCAUCUAAGAAAAAUACACCAGUGACUUCUAUCUUAAGUGGCAGAAAUGCUGCUAAGCCUCGAGAAAGGAAGGCAGCUGAGAAUGAGACGCGGCCUGUGGGGGCUGCCCCUGCGGGGUCCCGGAGGCAGCAAGGGGGCCACCCCACCCUGGCUGUUGGGCUCCUUGGCACAGAGCCUGGACGGCAAGGUGGAAGCCCAUCUCCAGAACCCCAGGAGGGAAGCGGAGGACGUGCCACUGCUGUACAGAGCGAAGGACGAGACCCAGAUGUGGGCGGUCACUGUUCCAGAGCCGGAGCAGCCAGCACGUGGCUGUGACAGGACAGAACCAACCCUGCUCCAGGUCCAGGUGCCUCCCCUGGACACCUUCCUUGCACAGCGAGCCUGAGACGCGGAGGCCAGGACAGGGCAAGGAUGUGCCUGGCCGGACGGAGGGCAGACGAGCUUUCUCAUGCUGUUCGUGUUUGCUGUUCCGACAGCCGGGGGCAGGCAUUUAGGAAUGGGAACUCCUUGACAGAAAAGAAAACACUUGAAAACUGAAAGAAAAUGUUCAGAAUAUAUAUUCAGGAAAGCACAGAUCGAUGAGGCUUCUCAAGACCGCUCUGAAAGGCGCCCAACCCAGCACGCGGGCGGGGCAGCGCUUUACCUGAGG